UCUUGGACAAGGAGAGCUCUCCUUCAAGAAGGGAAUAGACCCAAAUUGGGCGAUAGCUAACAAUAAAACCAUUAGCAUGAAUUUCGUCAACAACAAGUACAACAUUACAAAUAUUUUCCGAGAUGUGAGAUAAUUCACUUGUUCUCUGUAAUAUCAUAUAGCUUUGGAAUUGUUACAUUAUGUACUUCCGAGGAAAAUCGGCAGGUUUCUCAACUCUUGGUGACUUUAAGACAACUGGAAACUGGUAAAAACCUUGGUCAAAUCAUGACGUCGGUGAUUUCCAGGUCGUACUGAUGGCCGUGCUGCAUAGGCAAGAUGCAGUAGAUGCAUGGUAAGCGGUACCGGAGUGCCACAUCUAGGACAAAAAGGCUUCUCAAGAGUUUUUACCCCCAAGCCAUAAGACUCCUGAACAGAGAUUGGACAUUGGCGAGUCUGACCAGUCGGCCUUCUGAGUCUGACCAGUAGGCCACUCCAUCUGCCUCUCCUGUGGCGACUAUGUUGUUUUGGGUCGGCCUCUGGGAUAAGAUCGCAUGGCCAGGGUGGAGGUCCGAACCAAGAAUCCUCUUCGGGAAAGACGUAUUCCUGGUCGUAAUGAUGGUAAGUUGACAUCGCUUUUAUAUAGUUC